UACGGAGGGGGCUAGCGUUGUUCGGAAUUACUGGGCGUAAAGCGCACGUAGGCGGCUUUGUAAGUUAGAGGUGAAAGCCUGGAGCUCAACUCCAGAACUGCCUUUAAGACUGCAUCGCUUGAAUCCAGGAGAGGUGAGUGGAAUUCCGAGUGUAGAGGUGAAAUUCGUAGAUAUUCGGAAGAACACCAGUGGCGAAGGCGGCUCACUGGACUGGUAUUGACGCUGAGGUGCGAAAGCGUGGGGAGCAACAGG
rnacentral:rRNA from 1 species